CAACACUUUGCCUAAACAUCUCCUUGGGUUUCCCACCUAACCUGAGAAGAUAUUGCCCAAUUCAAAGAAGAAAUAACAAAAUAUUGACUCCAAUAUCCUUCAAGAAUGAAAAUACAUUUAAAUACAAACAAUACAAGGGAACAGGAAAUCUCAUGCUGCUGAAAUAGUGAUUACAAUGGAAGAAUUCCUUAAACAACCCUUCAGAAACACUCAAGUACAAAAGGAUCCAUCUUUCACAUAGUUAGUAUUCUGGUCUUGACCAAGGACAAAUAAAGACCAGAGCCUAUUACCAACUGCUCCGUUAAAAGCUGAGUCCUUCUCUUUCAUUUUGCUUGUCACAGUGCAG
rnacentral:lncRNA from 1 species